rnacentral:lncRNA from 1 species
AAUUGAAAAAAAAAAAAAAAAAAAAAAAAAAAAAAAAAAAAAAAAAAAAAAAAAAAAAAAAAAAAAAAAAAGGCUAGUUAAAGUUAUAGUUGCAAGGAGGAUAGAAUCAAGUAGUUAUGUACACACCACAAGUAUAAACAAAUAAUUAAACAUGGAAGAGAAAUAUCGAGGAAGAAAUAAAAAGUUAUCAAAAUUUAAUAAUAAUAAUGAA